ensembl:lncRNA
UUGUGUGACAUGGUUCAUGGUAAUGAAGGUGGUUGAUUUGUGUGACCUGGUAUCAUGGUAAUGAAGGUGUGUUGAUUUGUGUGACAUGUUAAUGGUAAUGAAGGUGUGUUGAUUUGUUGUGACAUGGAUCAUGGUAAUGAAGUGUGUUGAUUGUCAUGACAUGGUAUCAUGGUAAUGAAGGUGUGUUGAUUUGUGUGACAUGGUAUCAUGGUAAUGAAGGUGUGUUUGAUUUGUUGUGACAUGGUAUCAUGGUAUGAGGUGUGUUGAUGGUGUGACAUGGUAUCAUGGUAGAAUAAGUGUGUUGAUUUGUGUGACCUGGUACAUGGUAAUGAAGGUGUGUGAUUUGUGUGACAUGGUAUCAUGGUAAUGAAGGUGUGUUGAUUUGUGUGACAUGGUACAUGGUACUGAAGGUUGUGUUGAUUUGUGUGACAUGGUAACUGGUAAUGAAGGUGUGUUGAUUUGUGUGACAUGGAACAUGGUAAUGAAGUGUGUGUUAUUGUGUGACAUGUUAACAUGGUAAUGAAGGUGUGUUGAUUUUGUGGACUGGUAACAUGGUAUGAUGAGGUUGUUGUUGUGUGACAUGGUAACAUGGAAUAAGGUUGUGGGCAUAGAACAUUAGGGUUUUCUCUGUGUGUGUGGCUCUGUAGCAGUUUGGUGUGGGCUUGUAGCGCGUCUGUGUGUGUGGCUGUAGUUUUCAUUCUUUUUUUUUUUCCUCAUCAGGGAUUCAAACGUUCUCUGGACAUUUUCGAGUGAGAAGAUCCAUCCAUUAACGGUGAGUAGGUGGAAGAAGAUACUAUAUGUCUGGUGUGCACACCCAACCUCCUGUCAGACUGACUGGCCAGGCCUCUCUUCCUCAGAGGAGGAAGGUUCCAGAGACUACUACAGCGUGGACCUGAACACAAGCUCAUCUACCGCUUGUCCGCACGCUCUUCAGCUCGGCCCAGCUGACUGCGGAGUGUGCCAUCGUCACCCUGGUGUACCUGGAGCGUCUGCUGACCUACGCUGAGAUGGACAUCUGUCCCGCAACUGGAAGCGUAUGUACUGGGAGCCAUCCUGCUGGCGUCCAAGGUGUGGGACGACCAGGCGUGUGGAACACGUAGACUACUGCCAGAUCCUCAAGGACAUCACCGGGAGGGACAUG